rnacentral:rRNA from 1 species
GUGGGGAAUAUUGGACAAUGGGCGCAAGCCUGAUCCAGCCAUGCCGCGUGAGUGAUGAAGGCCCUAGGGUUGUAAAGCUCUUUCGGCGGGGACGAUAAUGACGGUACCCGCAGAAGAAGCCCCGGCUAACUUCGUGCCAGCAGCCGCGGUAAUACGAAGGGGGCUAGCGUUGUUCGGAAUCACUGGGCGUAAAGCGCACGCAGGCGGAUCGUUAAGUCAGGGGUGAAAUGCCAAGGCUCAACCUUGGAACUGCCUCUGAUACUGGCGAUCUUCGAGUCCGGGAGAGGUGAGUGGAACUCCGAGUGUAGAGGUGAAAUUCGUAGAUAUUCGGAAGAACACCAGUGGCGAAGGCGGCUCACUGGCCCGGUACUGACGCUCAGGUGCGAAAGCGUGGGGAGCAAACAGGAUUAGAAACCCUAGUAGUCC